rnacentral:rRNA from 1 species
CCUACGGGAGGCUGCAGUGGGGAAUAUUGCGCAAUGGGCGAAAGCCUGACGCAGCGACGCCGCGUGAGGGAUGAAGGUCUUCGGAUCGUAAACCUCUGUCAGCAGGGAAGAACGGUCACUGUGCUAAUCAGCAGUGAAUUGACGGUACCUGCAAAGGAAGCACCGGCUAACUCCGUGCCAGCAGCCGCGGGAAUACGGAGGGUGCGAGCGUUAAUCGGAAUUACUGGGCGUAAAGCGCUCGUAGGCGGUAUGUCAAGUCAAGGGUGAAAUCCCCGCGCUCAACGUGGGAACUGCCUUUGAAACUGGAAAACUGGGGUGUGUGAGAGGAUAGUGGAAUUCCAGGUGUAGGAGUGAAAUCCGUAGAUAUCUGGAGGAACAUCAGUGGCGAAGGCGACUAUCUGGCACAUAACUGACGCUGAGGAGCGAAAGCGUGGGUAGCAAACAGGAUUAGAUACCCGAGUAGUC